UACUGAGACAACGAACAUGC
rnacentral:miRNA from 1 species